AUUGAACGCUGGCGGCAUGCCUUACACAUGCAAGUCGAACGGCAGCGGGGACUUCGGUCCGCCGGCGAGUGGCCAACGGGUGAGUAAUGUAGCGGAACGUACCUCGCAGGUGGGGAGAACGUAGCGAAAGAUACUCUAUUACCCCAUCUUCUGUGAGCAGGAAAGCAGGGGAUCGCAAGACCUUGAGUCGAGUGAGCGGUAGAUAUCGGAUUAGCUAGUUGGUGAGGUAAAGGCUCACCAAGGCGACGAUCUGCAGCGGGUCUGAGAGGAGGAUCCGCCACACUGGAACUGAGACACGGUCCAGACUCCUACGGGAGGCAGCAGUGGGGAAUUUUGGACGAGGGGGGCAACCCUGAGCCAGCCAUGCCGCGUGAGUGAAGGAGGCCUUCGGGUUGUAAAGCUCUUUCGGCCGGGAAGAAAUCGCAUGGGUUAAUGCCCUGUGCGGAUGACGGUACCGGCAUAAGAAGCACCGGCUAACUACGUGCCAGCCGCCGCAGUAAAAC
rnacentral:rRNA from 1 species